GACGAACGCUGGCGGCGUGCUUAACACAUGCAAGUCGAACGGGUCUGCCCUGUUUUUUGCGGGGUGGGUCAGUGGCGAACGGGUGAGUAACACGUGAGUAACCUGCCCCUCACUUCUGGAUAACCGCUUGAAAGGGUGGCUAAUACGGGGUGUUCUGGCUGUGCCGCAUGGUGUGGCUGGGAAAGAUUCACUUUUGUGGUGUUUUGGUGGGGGAUGGGCUCGCGGCCUAUCAGCUUGUUGGUGGGGUGAUGGCCUGCCAAGGCUUUGACGGGUAGCCGGCCUGGGAGGGUGGGCGGUUAAAAUGGGGAUGAGAUACGGGCCAGACUUCUGGGGGAGGCAGGAGGGGGGGGUAAUGGACAAUGGGCGGAAGGCUGAAGCAGGGAAGUCGCGUGAGGGAUGGAGGCCUUCGGGUUGUGAACCUCUUUCGCCGGUGAAGAAGGUCCCGCUCUUUGUGGUGGGGUUGACGGUAGCCGGGUUAUGAAGCGCCGGCUAACUACGUG
rnacentral:rRNA from 1 species